rnacentral:tRNA from 1 species
GCUCCCGUGGCGGAACUGGUAUACGCGUACGCUUUAGGAGCGUAUGCCGCAAGGCUUGGAGGUUCAAGUCCUCCCGGGAGCA